rnacentral:pre_miRNA from 12 species
CGGAGAUCCUGCUCCGUCGCCCCAGUGUUCAGACUACCUGUUCAGGACAAUGCUGUUGUACAGUAGUCUGCACAUUGGUUAGACUGGGCAAGGGAGAGCG